rnacentral:lncRNA from 1 species
CAGGACACCAGCAUUUGCAUUAAACCCACAAAUAACAAAAAGAUUCCUGAGUGGCACUCGCUGCCAGAUGAGGGUGCACAGUGAGUUACUGGUCAUGGCCCCCGAGCUCCUCGUGCCUCGAGUCACUUACCCAGAGCACCAGUGACGUUAUCGUGUUCAGCCCAUAUUUACUACAGCUACAAACUGAUUCAGAGAAACCUGGAGUACAGGAUUAAUCAUUACUCUUGGGAUGUUGAAAAUGGAUACCAGAAUGGACUUCCAAAUUAGGACUGAGCAAGCUUUACAAGCUAGACCCAGCUCUGAAAUCCCAGCACUUUCUUUCCACAGAAGAUCCAAGAACUUUGUUGAAUUGCAGGUUGUGCAAUCUACUUCCAAUUUCCUGCUCUACUCAGCACUUAAGAGUUUUCUUGCGCAGAUGCUACAGGGCAAUAAAUCUUCUGAAGAAUGGUUCUACAUUUCUCCCACUAUGGUGUUGCCUUUUAAUGAGGAAAGACAAAUUGCUUGUGAGAUUGGCUGAUUGGUUGGUUAUUCCCUAAAAUGUCUCACUCAUCCCUCUCAUAACACCAUGGGUUCAACAGCUCAUUUCUUCUGUCUUCGUUUUCCUUCCCAGCGCAGCCAGACAAUAUCUAUAUCAAGGCCAUUCUCCUCCUGUUCUUCUCCCCUUAAGGAAAAAUCCAUCUGGCCAAAAGCAGCAGAGAUUAUAAAAGGUCCAGAAAAGGCAAAUUUUGGAAAGCAGCAGCUUUAAGGAAACUUCAGUGGGGAUGAAAUACAGAGGGCCUGGCUGCUGCCAUCACCUCAGUCCCACAACACCAGUGCCAGAAGCCACAGUAACCUCUGCUGGGAGCACCCCUGGAUCCCAAAGGCUGUGGGACUGGGCUGGGUCAUCACAGGAAGGAAAUUUUCGAUUUCUCCUUCCAGGCUCUGCUCUAAGUGCUGCUUCAAGUCAUAUCACCUCUGUUCACUGGUGAUCUGACACUUCAGCAUUCCAGUAACAGGAGAAGGUGCCUUCCACAAGAAGUGUAUUGCUGAAGUUCUACCCACUGAGUGGCCCAAGGCUGGUCUUUAAGCUUGAGAAAUUACUUUUUAUUUUCCUGACAGAAUUCCAGAAAAAAAAACACC